rnacentral:rRNA from 1 species
GAUGAACGCUGGCGGCGUGCCUAAUACAUGCAAGUCGAGCGAACAGAUAAGGAGCUUGCUCCUUUGACGUUAGCGGCGGACGGGUGAGUAACACGUGGGUAACCUACCUAUAAGACUGGAAUAACUCCGGGAAACCGGGGCUAAUGCCGGAUAACAUUUAGAACCGCAUGGUUCUAAAGUGAAAGAUGGUUUUGCUAUCACUUAUAGAUGGACCCGCGCCGUAUUAGCUAGUUGGUAAGGUAACGGCUUACCGAGGCAACGAUACGUAGCCGACCUGAGAGGGUGAUCGGCCACACUGGAACUGAGACACGGUCCAGACUCCUACGGGAGGCAGCAGUAGGGAAUCUUCCGCAAUGGGCGAAAGCCUGACGGAGCAACGCCGCGUGAGUGAUGAAGGUCUUCGGAUCGUAAAACUCUGUUAUUAGGGAAGAACAAAUGUGUAAGUAACUGUGCACGUCUUGACGGUACCUAAUCAGAAAGCCACGGCUAACUACGUG